AACGAACGCCCGCGGCAGGCCUAACACAUGCAAGUCGAGCGAAGCCUUCGGGCUUAGCGGCGGACGGGUGAGUAACGCGUGGGAACGUGCCCUUUGCUACGGAAUAGCCCCGGGAAACUGGGAGUAAUACCGUAUGUGCCCUUCGGGGGAAAGAUUUAUCGGCAAAGGAUCGGCCCGCGUUGGAUUAGGUAGUUGGUGGGGUAAUGGCCUACCAAGCCGACGAUCCAUAGCUGGUUUGAGAGGAUGAUCAGCCACACUGGGACUGAGACACGGCCCAGACUCCUACGGGAGGCAGCAGUGGGGAAUCUUAGACAAUGGGGGAAACCCUGAUCUAGCCAUGCCGCGUGAUCGAUGAAGGCCUUAGGGUUGUAAAGAUCUUUCAGUGGGGAAGAUAAUGACUGUACCCACAGAAGAAGCCCCGGCUAACUCCGUGCCAGCCGCCGCCGUAAAAC
rnacentral:rRNA from 1 species